GGCCCAGAUCGUUUACCGUGAAAAAAUUAGAGUGUUCAAAGCAGGCAGAUCCAAUUUUCUGCCACCGAAUACAUUAGCAUGGGAUAAUGGAAUAGGACCCUGUCCUCCUAUUUUCAGUUGGUUUUGGCAGCGCGAGGACUAGGGUAAUGAUUAAUAGGGAUAGUUGGGGGCAUUAAUAUUUAAUUGUCAGAGGUGAAAUUCUUGGAUUUAUGAAAGAUUAACUUCUGCGAAAGCAUCUGCCAAGGAUGUUUUCAUUAAUCAAGAACGAAAGUUAGGGGAUCGAAGACGAUCAGAUACCGUCGUAGUCUUAACCAUAAACGAUGCCGACCAGCGAUUAGGAGACGUUGAAUACAAAACACCACCAUCGGCGCGGUCGUCCUUGGCGUCUCGGUUUCGGCCGGGGCGCGGGGACGGCUUAGCCCGGUGGCACCGGUGAAUGACUCCCCUAGCAGCUUGUGAGAA
rnacentral:rRNA from 1 species